rnacentral:misc_RNA from 1 species
UUGGUUUCAUUAUCUUGUUGUCUAUGAACUCGACUAGUAGUUUACCAGAUAAAUUGAUUUGUCGGGCAUUCCUGGCCCACCUAACGAAACAUGUAGUAUCGUGGUCAUGACCAGCUAAGGCUAAAGUUUCAUUAAAAGGGCGUUUUCGAUACCUUGGUUAGAGUCAUUGUACUCUUUUUGACCCUAUUUUAACAUCUUUGGCUAAAUGUUUCAUUGAUGUAAAGAAG